rfam:Camelus ferus unplaced genomic scaffold scaffold334, whole genome shotgun sequence.
GAGGGUGUAGCUCAAGGGCAGAGCGCGUGCUCAGCAUGCAUGAGGUCCUGGGUUCAAUCCCCAGUCCCUCU